AACAAUGUUGUCUUCUAACAUGGGCCUUCCAACUGAAGAAGGUGGAGAAGAAAUUGGUCUUUCGGUAUCUUGUUGUGCCUGUGAAGCAGAAGACGCUGCAUCUGUCUUCUCAAUGUUGGUAUCUGAUGUCAACCCCGGGGGGUCUCCAGCAACUUGGUUUUUCUCAGAGUUGCUUUUAACUGGACUGGUAGAUCCUUGUUUUAGUGAUUUUCCAUCUGAUGGUGAAGUUGCUGCUUUUAAAUCACCAUUCGCAUUUGAUGCUGAUGAGGCCUUAUCGACUUCCUUUUCAACGAGAGUUGAUGGCUUGCCAUUUGUGUCAUCAGCGGUCCGUGAUGUAAUUGUUGCUUCAACCUUUUGGUCUUUUUCUUCAUCAGAUUGUACUGAACGAGCAGAAGCUUUGGCUUUAUCAUCACUACUGAUCUUAUAAGAAGGCUCGAUGAGGAGGACUUGGCGGUUAGGCCGGUUACGAGAAAAAAUGGAAUCAGCAAAUGGUACAUCAUCUGCAUCAAUCUCGCGAGAUGUUUUCUGCACAGUACGAAUAGGUGUAGCAAGUCGAGCACGAUGAUGGCUAAUUACUCGAAGUAGAUCCAGCAAUAUAACUUCCUUCACUCGGAGGUACUCUUCAAAACGAGGAGUCUUCACAAAGCAAGAAAUCAGUAUCUUAAGAGCCUGAUUCUCUGGAUCAACGUUAUCCAGAAAAACUCGUCUAUGUAAUCG
rnacentral:misc_RNA from 1 species